GACGAACGCUGGCGGCGUGCUUAACACAUGCAAGUCGAACGAUGAUGCCCAGCUUGCUGGGUUGAUUAGUGGCGAACGGGUGAGUAACACGUGAGUAACCUGCCCCUGACUUUGGGAUAA
rnacentral:rRNA from 1 species